rnacentral:rRNA from 1 species
CAGGCCUAACACAUGCAAGUCGAACGAAGCCUUCGGGCUUAGUGGCGCACGGGUGCGUAACGCGUGGGAAUCUGCCCUUUGCUUCGGAAUAACAGUGGGAAACUACUGCUAAUACCGGAUGAUGACGCAAGUCCAAAGAUUUAUCGGCAAGGGAUGAGUCCGCGGCAGAUUAGUUAGUUGGUGGGGUAAUGGCCUACCAAGACGAUGAUCUGUAUCCGGCCUGAGAGGGCGCACGGACACACUGGAACUGAAACACGGUCCAGACUCCUACGGGAGGCAGCAGUGGGGAAUUUUGCGCAAUGGGGGAAACCCUGACGCAGCAACGCCGCGUGGAGGAUGAAAUCCCUUGGGAUGUAAACUCCUUUCGACUGGGAAGAUAAUGACGGUACCAGGAGAAGAAGCCCCGGCUAACUUCGUGCCAGCAGCCGCGGUAUACGAGGGGGGCGAGCGUUGUUCGGAAUUAUUGGGCGUAAAGGGCGCGUAGGCGGCUUGAUAAGUUUGGUGUGACAUCUAUGGGCUCACUCCAUAGCCUGCGCCCAAAACUGUCGGGCUUGCGAAAGGCACCAGCGAAUUUUCUUUACGUCCAACUUACCUCUUUCAUAUCCUCCA